UACGUAGGGUGCGAGCGUUAAUCGGAAUUACUGGGCGUAAAGCGUGCGCAGGCGGUUCGCCGUGUCCGAUGUGAAAGCCCCGGGCUUAACCUGGGAAUGGCAUUGGAAACUGGCGGGCUGGAGUAUGGCAGAGGGGGGUGGAAUUCCGCGUGUAGCAGUGAAAUGCGUAGAGAUGCGGAGGAACACCGAUGGCGAAGGCAGCCCCCUGGGCCAAUACUGACGCUCAGGCACGAAAGCGUGGGGAGCAAACAGG
rnacentral:rRNA from 1 species